rnacentral:miRNA from 1 species
CAGCAGGGGAGAGAGAGGAGUC